GACGAACGCUGGCGGCGUGCUUAACACAUGCAAGUCGAACGGAAAGGCCCUGCUUUUGUGGGGUGCUCGAGUGGCGAACGGGUGAGUAACACGUGAGUAACCUGCCCUUGACUUUGGGAUAACUUCAGGAAACUGGGGCUAAUACCGGAUAGGAGCUCCUGCUUCAUGGUGGGGGUUGGAAAGUUUCGGCGGUUGGGGAUGGACUCGCGGCUUAUCAGCUUGUUGGUGGGGUAGUGGCUUACCAAGGCUUUGACGGGUAGCCGGCCUGAGAGGGUGAGCGGCCACAUUGGGACUGAGAUACGGCCCAGACUCCUACGGGAGGCAGCAGUGGGGAAUAUUGCACAAUGGGCGGAAGCCUGAUGCAGCAACGCCGCGUGCGGGAUGACGGCCUUCGGGUUGUAAACCGCUUUCGCCUGUGACGAAGCGUGAGUGACGGUAAUGGGUAAAGAAGCACCGGCUAACUACGUG
rnacentral:rRNA from 1 species